rnacentral:misc_RNA from 1 species
AAGGAUAUAUUCGGAACAUCUUCUUCAGAAGAUGCGGAAUAACGUGACAUAUUGUAUUCAGUUUUGAAUGUUUAUUUAACAUUCAUUUUUAUUUGUACAUUGAAAACUAGAUAAGUAAGUAAAAUAUAGAUUUUACCAAGCAAAACCGAGUGAAUAAAGAGUUUUAAAUAAGCUUGAAUUCAUAAGAAAUAAUCGCUAGUGUUCGAAAGAACACUCACAAGAUUAAUAACGCGUUUAAAUCUUUUUAUAAAAGAAAACGUUUAGCAGACAAUGAGUUAAAUUAUUUGAAAGCGGAGUUUACUUCUGUAAAUGAGCAUUUUAAAUAAUGAAAACGAAACAGUAUGUGAGCGUUUGACUUAUAAAAAUGGUGGAAACAUA